CUACUCAAGCCUGAGCAAUGGCGGGUGCCCCUCCCCCAGCCUCGCUGCCGCCUUGCAGUUUGAUCUCAGACUGCUGUGCUAGCAAUGAGCGAGGCUCUGUGGGUGUAGGACCCUCUGAGCCAGGCGCAGGAUAUAAUCUCAUGGUGUGCCAUUUGCUAAGACCGUGGAAAAGUGCAGUAGUUUAUACUGAAUUUGUUUUCUGGAAUCCAGCCCUGAUCCUGUCACACACACCUGUGCAAAAGCUUUUAAUCGCUUCCCUAUGGAAUCUGAAUUAUCCCAGGAUUUAGGGUUUUCCCACAGUAUGUUCUCAAAUUAAAUUUUCCUGGCUUCUCUCUCAUUAUUUCCCCAAAUAUAAAGAAAAUCUCAGGAGAUAGAGACCAUCCUGGGCAACAUGGGGAAACCCUGUCUUUACUAAAAAUAGAAAAAUUAGCUGGGUGUGGUGUCACGUGCCUGUAAUCCCAGCUACUCGGGAGGCUGAGGCAGGAGAAUUGCUUGAACCAGGGAGUCGGAGGUUGCAGUGAUCCGAGAUCAUGACGCUGUACUCCAGCCUGGUGACAGAGCAAGAUUCCAUCAAAAAAAAAAAAAAAAAGCAUCAACAACUUCCAUUUCCUUAUUUCUU
rnacentral:lncRNA from 1 species